GGAAUAUGUCCAAUGUCCACCUUUGAACCUUGCAUAUAAAAUCACGUUUUAAUGGUAAAAAACCGUUAAUAUUCAAACUAUCAAAUCACUAUUUUCUUCAGAGCUUGAGAGAUGAGAGCUAGCUAGGGCCUGGGGCUAGGGGGAACAGACUGCAGUCGUUGCUAGCCUCCUUGUGGUGAACCAUGUAUCCUCUACUAUCUAUGGCACAAGCCGUACUGUACAAGUGAAAGCAAUCCUUGAGAUCUGCAACGUCUUGGUCUACAAAGAGUUUGUCGUUCACUUCUCAUUUCUUUCUUUACCCAUGUUCCUGUGCAUCAUUACUGUGUGGCUUGUGCUACACUGAGUACAUAUUCAAAUUUUGAGUGGAGUUCUACUGGGGCUAUUGUAGCAUUGUCCUUGGGACCGAGGCUAUAGGACAAAUCGGACUGCUCUGCCUCAUAAGUGAAGAGGCGAACACAAAUGGCAGAAUGUUCCCUCACAAUAAUGAUCGUUUUUUGUGCAAUAAAACAAUGUUUGCUGUAUUAAUUUACAACAUGUUGGGAUGCAUGAGCACAUUAAUUUUAAUACAACAUGUACCCUGUAUGGAUCUGCGCUAUAGAUCUAUAUAGUAUUAAUUGAAGAUUUAAAGUUUCAUGUGCUUCUUGUGCAUAAUCCUCUGGAGCCACCCCCACAUCACAGAAUUAUAAGGUCAAAGUUCAUGGACAUAAUUAUUCUAGGCUCUCGUGGAGUACGUGAUCAGACCUUUCCUGUAAAAGAGAACGAUAGCUAUACAGAGAUCUUAGCAAAUGAACUGGAUAUGAAUAACAAGUUGAAGAGGACUUUUAUCGGUUUGGUACUUCUUUUGAUCGGUAUCUAUAUGUAUCAAUGUUUCAAUACAUAUGCUGUACGACCAGAUACUAAGGUACAUAUCUAUUCUAUGAUUAUUCGAUCAGCAUACAUUGACACACGUGCGAGAAAUGGUUACAAACACUCUGUUAAUACAGUAGUGAUUUUUGCAGAGGCCUCUAUGGAAAUACGCAAACAUGGGUUAAUUGAAGGCUGCGGUGCUGAUUCCAUUAAUGCUAAAGCUUUUAACCCUAUUCCUCUUUACUUUCCGUGGAUUACCUAUCAUUUCCCAAAACUUACUCACGAGGAGAUAAUGAUUGAUUGUUACGAUCUUGAACUCCAUGAAAACAGCACUGCUUUUGUACGUUAUCGUCCACUUUCAAACUCAGAUAUGACGAUAACAGCUACUAUUGACGUUACAUACCCUGCACAUAGAGAUGACUAUAAAGACAAAGUUGUUGUUUGUACGAACUGCUUUGGCAAACCACCUUGGUUAAGUGAGUGGCUAAAAUAUCAGAAGACUAUUGGAGUUGAUUUGGUUCAAUUAUAUGUUGAAGAGCAAUUUAUGAGUGACAAUGAAAAUCUCAAAAUUAUUGAAAGUUAUAUUCAAGAAGGUUUCCUGAAAGUAGAAAAUCGUAAAACAUAUUUCAAUACAUCACAGAUUUACUACCACUCAGAACUUAUAAACCAUCAUGAUUGUUUGUAUCGCUAUCGAGAAGUGUUUGAAUUUGCCUUCUUUUUAGACACCGAUGACUUUUUUAUCCCACGUCUACCUAACAAGACUAAUGUACACGACUAUGUCAACCAAUUUUUUUGUGAGGACAAUCAAGUAUCAGCUGAAUUUGUGUGGCUCAAAUAUUUUCCGGAUUGUGGCUUAACACAACCGUUAUCAAAUUUGAAAGAUGGUAAUAUAACAAGUUUACUCAAAGUUAAAGAAUUCUGGAAGUCACCGGAGCCAAAAUUUGUUUGUAGACCAACCCUGACGACAUCGAUUGGAAUUCAUUCUACAACUGGAAUAUUGGGAGGAACAACAAUUGUUCAUCCACCUGUUGAUGUAGCUUACAUAGCUCAUGUUAGGGCUCACGAAUUAUUAGGCCUACCAAGUAAUGCUGAUUGCAAAAUUUGACUAAUAUCACUAUGUAUCACAGCUAAUAAUUAUAAUUAGGCCAAUGUUAAUCAAUGUCUUGUUUCUGGUUUGGGAAUCACCUUACCACUAUA